CUGCUGCUUCCGAGCUGGGUCAAAGAACGGCCCGAACAAAUGGGGAAAGACUGAGAAGGCCCGUGAAAUUACCCUGGAGAAACAGACCACCACCUAUUUCUUGACUGCUACUGUAGAGACCAUCUCUCCAACUCCCAAAUCGAGCCACGUGAGGGAAGGUCUGGCUAGUGGGAGCUAUUGAUAAUCUCAGACGGCGACCUGAAGACUGAUUUUACUCCUUGCAUUCAACCUGCUUCGAGGCUGUGCCAGGACAGCUUUAUUUGCAGACCAGAAUUUCAGCUUUGGUCCUUUUCUUCCCACCUCUUGAAAGACAAAAAGUGAAAUGGCCAAAGGCAGAUUCCAAGAAAAAGAAAGGUCUUGAGUUUUGUGUUAACCCAAGACCUUGCCCCCAAGAAAAUCAAAAUUAAUGUCAAAUUCCUCUUUCCAAAACUCCAUCCAUUUUUGCCAUUCUCUAGAUAAUUUUAGGUAAUAUUUUUAUGGUGUGUGUGUGUGUGUGUGUGUGUGUGUGUGUGUGUCCGCGUGCGCGUUCGCACGCACAUGCGCACGCGUGUUUUCAUAGACAUUAAUUCAAUAGUCCUUUUAUUAAAUUAGAUUUUUGGGUUCGGGCUGGAUUGGGUUUAAAGUCUUAUAUUGCAAUCCAGGCUGGCCUUAGAUUCACAACAGUCCUUUACUUCUGCUUCCUAAGGGCUGGGAUAGUAGGUGCGUCCUGCCGUGCCCACCCACCCUUCCUGAAAGUUCCUGAGAUGAAAAGAUAACAAAAAGUAACAUUAUGUGCAACUAUGUUAAAUAGUAAAUACCAUGGUAGCAAAAAUAAUUGACCAGUGCCCUUAACAAUUAGGAAAGAUGGAUAUCCAGGAUGUAUGAUGGCCCGUCAUCCUAGAAGGAAUCUAUGAAGGACAACCAAUCAAAAGAGCCCUGUUAAAGUCAAGGGUUUAGAAGGCACACCUUGCAUGGAAACCUGCCCUGGUGAGGCCUGGCCAACAGAAAUGGAGAUGGGUUGAAGUCUGAUACAAUACAUUGUAUUUCUGCUCUAGAAGCCAUGGUGGAAACUUCAUAUAAAGUUGUUUUGGUCCAACAUAGUGGAGACACAAAGACCUGUAAGAAUAAAGACUUUAAAAACUGCUACCCCCCCCCCCCCCCCCCCCCCGCACAAAAAAAA